rnacentral:lncRNA from 9 species
AAAAAUUUCUAUAAAAUUUUGUGUCUAUACACAAAACAGUGCUAGGAGUUGAUUUUUUUAUAACUUUCCUGCUGCCUCCUCUAUUUUCUAAAUAGAUUAACCUUUUCGCCCAGUCCCAGGCUGCCUGUGGAAUUCUUGUGGCUAUUUUAUGUGGCCUUCAAUCCAUUUUACGUGUGUCCAUCUGCCUCACUUCACUCCUUUCUUCUUCUCAAAUGAGCUUCCCAUAAACUUGGACUUAUGCAAUGCCUGCCAGAAGCAAAAAGAUGGUUCUGGACACUCUCAGCAGGCUGUUUCCCGGGAAGAGGGAAGGAACACCUGUGGCAUCCCAGCUGGAAGGGCCCUCUGGGGUCGUGCAGGCCACCUCUCAAAAGUUCAAGAGCCAGCAAUGCUUGUCUGCAGUCCCUCAUUAAGGGCUGCUUGAGAAGCUGACCUGGCAAAUCCUUCUUUGAGAACAUUUCUUCACUUAGUUUUAUAUGAAAGAGAGGCUGAAACAUUUUGCCAGCUUCCAAGAAGACCAGUGGGGAAGACAGAGUUACUGCCACUCAGAAGCUGGUUAAGGGGUGUCCAGGCGCCUUUCACAUCAAGUAAGCAAGCCACGGUUCUCUCUGGCAUAGCACGUGCUCUAUGAGCUGUGCAAUCUCAGUAAGCCACAUAAACUCUCUGGAUAUCACCUUCCUUAUUUCACCAAUGGGAAUAUUCAUAGCUUUGUAUGGUUGUGGUGGGGGUGAAAUGGCAUGACGUGUGACAAAGGGCUUUGGAGAGGCAACAAACCAUACAGAUGCAAGGGAUAAAUUUUUUUUUCUCUUUAGGGCCGCACCCUCAGCAUAUGGCAGUUCCCAGGCUAGGGGUCGAAUCGGAGCUACAGCUGCCAGCCUAUGCCACAGCCACAGCAAUGCAGGAUCCCAGCCGUAGCUGAGACCUACACCACAGCUAACAGCAAUGCCGGAUCCUUAACCCACUGAACAAGGCCAGGAAUGGAACCUGCAUCCUCAUGGAUCCUAGUCGGGUUCGUAAACCACUGAGCUACAAAGGGAACUCCGAAAGGGGUAAUUUUUAUUCUCUUACAUCUGUCUGUCCUCAACUGGGAUCGGUCUGGAGAAUUUUAUUUCCCCAGAUGAAAACUUCUUUGCUUCCAAGUUAAAAUGGUUACAUUUCAUCAAGGACUGUGGGAUAAAGGCAUGGGUCUUCCACUCUCACUGACAAUGGAACUGUAUCUCUUGGAGACAAGACUGGAUGUUAUAUGUGUACCACUGGUACUAAAAACUUUUCUAGACAUUAGGUCCUUGGACUUAAAAAUUACUGCCUUAAAAAUGCUUUUCCUCUGCACUUUUGCAGAGCUGUUCUGCACCCACAGAGAGCUGGCCAGCAUGGAGCUCAGACACAGGAGUUCCAUGGAAUUUCAGACACAAGAUUUGCUUGUUGUCAGAGAAUAUUUCAUGAAAGUUGCAGGGACUUGAGGGGAUGGAGCCGAGAGGACUUCACGAUACUGACCAGUUUAUUCAGAGAAUCACAAACACUAAAUUUGGAAAGUUAACUGGGCCAAACUCUUCAUUUUAAGAUGAGAAACUAUGGCUUAAAAUAGGUUAUCGUCUAUGCAGUUACUUUGGGAAAACAUAGUUUUUUUUUCUGAUUUCCAGGCCAAUGUUCUUUCCAUUACAUCAUUAAUAAUAUAAAUGGCAUCAACAAUGACCACAACAGGUACUGUUUAUUGCGUAGUGAGUAUGUGUUAGACAUUGUGCCAAGCUAUUGACAUCCAUUCGCCCACUUAACUCCUGCAGCAAACCAGUGAGACAGAUACCGUUCCCAUUUUGCAGAUGAGGAAAAUGAAGCUCAGAAACAUUCAUUAUUUUCCCAAAGUCAGAGUACUGAUACUUAUAUCCAUCUACAGUAUCGAGAGCCAGUAGGGAUGUAUGUGUCAGGGGUUGGUGCUAUGGUUUACAUACAGCAGUGUCUACAUUUUCUUACAUUUAGAGAUGAAAAUGACUCCUUACCCCCCACAUAUCAGGGGCCCUCUGAAUUGAAAAGUCAUGCAAAACUUACCCUGAAGCGCAGCCUGAUUUCAUAUUGAUGAGAACUAACUGGAAAUGAGGGUGUGGAGUUUCCCCAUUCUUCCGCAUGGCAGGCUUUUAGAAUACAGACAUGAGAUGAGUCAGAAGAGAAAUGUGCAGGCUCCAGGCCACAAUGGAAAUACUCAUUUCCCCAAUUGCUCAGCAGCAAAACAUUGAGGCCAACUCUUUUGUGUACGAGGGAUGUUAAAAAGCAUUUUUCAGUCUUAGCAUUGCUUUUAAAAUCAUUAAACCAACUUCUGUU